UACGGGGGGAGCAAGCGUUAGGCGGAAUCACUGGGCUUAAAGCGUGUGUAGGCGGACGCCUAAGUGUCUUGUGAAAUCCCACGGCUCACCCGUGGAACUGCUGGGCAUACUGGGCGUCUUGGGCCAACUAGGGGCAGCCGGAACAAGCGGUGGAGCGGUGAAAUGCGUAGAUAUCGCUUGGAACGCCGAAGGUGAAAACAGGCUGCUGGGGUUGCGCCGACGCUGAGACACGAAAGCCAGGGGAGCAAACGGG
rnacentral:rRNA from 1 species